rnacentral:rRNA from 1 species
UGGGGAAUAUUGGACAAUGGGGGGAACCCUGAUCCAGCCAUGCCGCGUGUGUGAAGAAGGCCUUUUGGAUGUAAAGCACUUUAAGCGAGGAGGAGGCUACUCUGGUUAAUACCCAGGGAUAGUGGACGUUACUCGCAGAAUAAGCACCGGCUAACUCUGUGCCAGCAGCCGCGGUAAUACAGAGGGUGCGAGCGUUAAUCGGAUUUACUGGGCGUAAAGCGUACGUAGGCGGCUUUUUAAGUCGGAUGUGAAAUCCCUGAGCUUAACUUAGGAAUUGCAUUCGAUACUGGGAAGCUAGAGUAUGGGAGAGGAUGGUAGAAUUCCAGGUGUAGCGGUGAAAUGCGUAGAGAUCUGGAGGAAUACCGAUGGCGAAGGCAGCCAUCUGGCCUAAUACUGACGCUGAGGUACGAAAGCAUGGGGAGCAAACAGG